GAUGAACGCUGGCGGCGUGCCUAAUACAUGCAAGUCGAACGAACAGGCGAGGCGCUUGCUCCUCGCACGUUAGCGGCGGAGGUGUGAGUCACACGUGGAUAACCUACCUAUAUGAGUGGGAUAACUACGGGACACCGGAUAUAAUACCGGAUGAUAUUUUGAAGCGCAUGGUUCAAAAGUAAAAUACGGCGGUGCUGGCAGUUCUAGAUGGAUCCGGGCUGCAUUAGGGAGUAGGUAGGGUAAAGGCUUAUCAAGGCAACGAUGCAUAACCGACCUGAGAGGCUGGUAGCCCACACUGGAACUGAGUCAGCGUCAAGGGUCCAAAGGAGCGCAGCAGUCUGGUAUCUUCCGCAACAGUCGCAAACCUGACGGAACGACGCCGAGUGAGUGAUGAAAGUCUUCCGUUCGUAAUGCUCUGUUACUAGUUCAGAACAAAUGUGUAAGUAACUGUGCCCAUCUUGACGGUACCUAAUCAGAAAGCCACGGCUAACUACGUG
rnacentral:rRNA from 1 species